GACGAACGCUGGCGGCGUGCUUAACACAUGCAAGUCGAACGGAAAGGCCCUGCUUUUGUGGGGUGCUCGAGUGGCGAACGGGUGAGUAACACGUGAGUAACCUGCCCUUGACUUUGGGAUAACUUCAGGAAACUGGGGCUAAUACCGGAUAGGAGCUCCUGCUGCAUGGUGGGGGUUGGAAAGUUUCGGCGGUUGGGGAUGGACUCGCGGCUUAUCAGCUUGUUGGUGGGGUAGUGGCUUACCAAGGCUUUGACGGGUAGCCGGCCUGAGAGGGUGACCGGCCACAUUGGGACUGAGAUACGGCCCAGACUCCUAUGGGAGGCAGCAGUGGGGAAUAUUGCACAAUGGGCGGAAGCCUGAUGCAGCAACGCCGCGUGCGGGAUGACGGCCUUCGGGUUGUAAACCGCUUUCGCCUGUGACGAAGCGUGAGUGACGGUAAUGGGUAAAGAGGCACCGGCUAACUACGUG
rnacentral:rRNA from 1 species